UACGUAGGGUGCGAGCGUUAAUCGGAAUUACUGGGCGUAAAGCGUGCGCAGGCGGUUUUGUAAGCCAGAUGUUAAAUCCCCGGGCUUAACCUGGGAAUGGCAUUUGGGACUGCAAGGCUGGAGUGUGGCAGAGGAGACUGGAAUUCCUGGUGUAGCAGUGAAAUGCGUAGAUAUCAGGAGGAAUACCGAUGGCGAAGGCAGGUCUCUGGGCUGACACUGACGCUCAUGCACGAAAGCGUGGGGAGCAAACAGG
rnacentral:rRNA from 1 species